ACAGAAUUCCACGAGUUUUGGUGUUUGUCUAUUUCUGCAGGGGGUUAUCAGGAAAUACGGAAGAAAGGCCCACACGUCGGGAUUACGUAAAGAUAUUAACAUGCUGCGCAAUUAUCUUACAUCUAGAAGACUCCAGAAGCCACGAGACCGAAGCGGAGGCGAAACGGGGCCAGAGGCAGGGCGCCCGCCCUGUCCUACUGGGCGCCCGCCCACCUCCUGUGUCCAAUCAGGACUCUGCUUUGCGGA
rnacentral:lncRNA from 1 species